rnacentral:rRNA from 1 species
UGGGGAAUUUGGACAAUGGGCGAAAGCCUGAUCCAGCAAUGCCGCGUGUGUGAAGAAGGCCUUCGGGUUGUAAAGCACUUUUGUCCGGAAAGAAAUCCUUGGCUCUAAUACAGUCGGGGGAUGACGGUACCGGAAGAAUAAGCACCGGCUAACUACGUGCCAGCAGCCGCGGUAAUACGUAGGGUGCAAGCGUUAAUCGGAAUUACUGGGCGUAAGCGUGCGCAGGCGGUUUGCUAAGACCGAUGUAAAUCCCCGGGCUCAACCUGGGAACUGCAUUGGUGACUGGCAGCUAGAGUAUGGCAGAGGGGGUAGAAUUCCACGUGUAGCAGUGAAAUGCGUAGAGAUGUGGAGGAAUACCGAUGGCGAAGGCAGCCCCCUGGGCCAAUACUG